UACAGAGGUCCCAAGCGUUGUUCGGAUUCACUGGGCGUAAAGGGUGCGUAGGUGGCCAGGUAAGUUUGGUGUGAAAGCUCGGAGCUUAACUCCGAAAAGUCAUUGAAUACUAUCUGGCUGGAGGGUCGGAGGGGAGACUGGAAUUCUCGGUGUAGCAGUGAAAUGCGUAGAUAUCGAGAGGAACACCAGUGGCGAAGGCGAGUCUCUGGACGACUCCUGACACUGAGGCAGCGAAGGUCAGGGGGAGCAAACGGG
rnacentral:rRNA from 1 species